AGAGUUUGAUCAUGGCUCAGAUUGAACGCUGGCGGAAUGCUUUACACAUGCAAGUCGAACGGUAGAGGGGGCAACCCCUCGAGAGUGGCGAACGGGUGAGUAAUAUAUCGGAACGUGCCCAGUCGUGGGGGAUAACGUAGCGAAAGUUACGCUAAUACCGCAUACGAUCUACGGAUGAAAGCGGGGGAUCGCAAGACCUCGCGCGAUUGGAGCGGCCGAUAUCAGAUUAGGUAGUUGGUGGGGUAAAGGCUCACCAAGCCAACGAUCUGUAGCUGGUCUGAGAGGACGACCAGCCACACUGGAACUGAGACACGGUCCAGACCCCUACGGGAGGCAGCAGUGGGGAAUUUUGGACAAUGGACGCAAGUCUGAUCCAGCCAUUCCGCGUGCAGGAUGAAGGCCCUCGGGUUGUAAACUGCUUUUGUACGGAACGAAAAGGUUUCCAUUAAUACUGGGAGCUCAUGACGGUACCGUAAGAAUAAGCACCGGCUAACUACGUGCCAGCAGCCGCGGUAAUACGUAGGGUGCAAGCGUUAAUCGGAAUUACUGGGCGUAAAGCGUGCGCAGGCGGUUAUGUAAGACAGAGGUGAAAUCCCCGGGCUCAACCUGGGAACUGCCUUUGUGACUGCAUAGCUAGAGUACGGUAGAGGGGGAUGGAAUUCCGCGUGUAGCAGUGAAAUGCGUAGAUAUGCGGAGGAACACCGAUGGCGAAGGCAAUCCCCUGGACCUGUACUGACGCUCAUGCACGAAAGCGUGGGGAGCAAACAGGAUUAGAUACCCUGGUAGUCCACGCCCUAAACGAUGUCAACUGGUUGUUGGGUCUUCACUGACUCAGUAACGAAGCUAACGCGUGAAGUUGACCGCCUGGGG
rnacentral:rRNA from 1 species